UAUAAUAAUUCGCAUAAGACGACCUCAAAGAAAGGACGGAAGACGAAAUGCUUUUAAGAAAAAGAAGAAAGGACGAAACCCCCAAUACCUGAACUUCCCCUUCUCUGUUUGGGAAAAAAGCUCACCCCCUUCUAUCCUAAAAACUCACAGAAAAACCAAGUUCUACUUCUCUUCUUCAAAUGCAAAACAAAAUUCGAUAAUAAGGGAACAUAUUUACACUCACGAUUUACAAUUUCAUGAACCCUAGUUACAAACCAAAAUCGGACACCAAACAAAAACGCGAAUCACUUUUGGAACAACCAGUUGCACACAUGUUUGAUGGCGUCAAGGCAAGUCUAAACACGAAGUAAUGAAGGAGCGAGGGAAUUACCAGAUCGAGAUGUUUCAGAGGCAAGUCAGUAGGAUAAGUGCUUCUUGAAUCCUUUUGCUUCUUCGAAUCCUUUUAUGUUCUUUGCAAUCACUGCUCCUUUAGUUAUCAUGACGUUCACGGUGUUUGCGAGGAAACGGUCUUGACGGAGCUCAAAGCGCAUUCAGAAAUUCACGAUGAAUCCCAGUGGCUUCGUAACAAAAACUUGGAAAUAUGUCACGCCGAGUCUAAUUUUACUUGGGGUUUGAAAACACCAUGGUUGGUUCAUGAAUUAAACCGACGCCGGCGUGAGAUUGUGACAGCAUCAGGUUGCAGACCGGAGUCCACCAUUUUAUGCAGACAUCCCAUGCUUCUUCCAAAUUACGCUGGAUACGACAACGAGGUUCAUCAGAGACACUAUCUAAAGCACCCUUUUUUUGAUAUGCUUCAUGAAUUCAUCUACUGUCUUCUCUUGUAGCUGAUCUUGCAGACAUUAUGGGAGCAACAUCAAAUGCAGUUCUUAGUCCUUUAUUUUAUUUGUUGACUCCUGUAGAUCCAAAGCAUGAUGCACCACUGGAUAAGAUGCCCUUGGCAGGUUCGUCUUGUAUCGGAGAUUUGCCAAAAAUUCAAUGUUGUUGCCGACAGUAUUUUCACCACAUGUGGUUAUGUCUGCAUCACAAUAUUCGUUAAGAGUAAAACUGAACACCAUUUCCAAUGACAAAUAUGUUUUUUGUAUUCCAUUUGUAAGAACCUUCUAAGUCAUUAAUUUGCUGGUGUAAUUGCCUCUAUAUAACAAUAACACCUACUGCUUUUCCCAAGCCUGCAACUCCAUCAUGUUGUACCACGUCAACCCAAGUUUGAUAGCAUCGCUAACCCUCCAACAUCAACCAAACCGCAAUGUCUUCAAGUAUUCAAAACAAGAUGCAAAAGUGAUUUGUCUAGUUCGUUUGGUGGUGAACUCUUUAGAACUUGUUGCAUUUGAUGCUGUGUAUGAUCUUGGGUUAUGACAUAGUUUGGUGAGCUUCCAUAUGCAUGAUGGUUCACAUCACCACCUGAGCACGAUAAUGUAUCACUGCAAUGUUGCCCAUUCUGCUCGUAUCAGGUGGUGUUAUAGCAAAACGCACCAUCCUGAAUUUUGGGUUGCGGCAACUGGAAGAUGUCAUAGACACGUUGGUGCCAAGACUAAGGUCGGGCGUGUUGUUACACUGUGGUCAAGUUGCUGCAGAAUUGGUGCUGGAAGUAGUGGUCUUCCAUGUUCAUGACUGAGCCUACUACAAGAUGUUAGUUCCUUGAAAAAUGGAACUAUUCCCCAUUAAAUAAUUGAUGGCUUCUCAAAACCGUAACAUCAACACCAAUCAUACACCUCCUCACAAAAUAUGCAGAAGUCAUGUUCUUCUAUAGUGAAUAACUCAUUCAACUUGGUAUCAAAUUGCUCGGUAUCCAAUUGUGAGCUUUUCGGAGCCAAACUCGUCAUACUGUUCGCAGAGGAAGCAAUGAGAGAGCGAAGUAGGGGUUAAGAUUGUUGGGAUUUUGGGUGGGUUGGAUUUGAUCCAAAUGCCUAUUUGCAAAUUAUGUGUGUUCUGUUAAAUUUUA